rnacentral:rRNA from 1 species
AACGUAGGAGACAAACGUUAUCCGGAGUUACUGGGCGUAAAGGGCGUGUAGGUGGUUUCGUAAGUCUGGCGUGAAAUAUCUCGGCUUAACCGAGGCAGGUCGUCGGAUACUGCGGAACUGGAGGACGGUAGAGGCGUGUGGAAUUCCGGGUGUAGUGGUGAAAUGCGUAGAGAUCCGGAGGAACACCAGUGGCGAAGGCGACACGCUGGGCCGUACCUGACACUGAUGCGCGACAGCGUGGGGAGCAAACAGG